UUUCACUUCCUCCUGAACUCUUAAAACUUUUUUCAUCAUGGUCAGUCAUCGUAUCUCUUUCAUCCACGACUGUACCUUUGCCAAACAGUUUUCGCCACCCAGAUCUCCACGAUAUUGCUGUGAGCUCCCUCCUUUUCUUUCUUCGAUUUUCCAUAUGGUGAGAGGGGUUUUGCUCCUCCUUCUUCCUUCUUCUCAAAUCUGGUUCCUCAUGGAAGAUCUAGCCAGACUCUGUGUAUCCCAUUCUGGUUAGAGUAGUCAUCUCGUGCGAUGCAGGAAGAUGACGACAAAACUUGUGGAGGAGAGAGGGCUGCAAUUGAAGCAAAUUAAUAUUACGUAAAGGGAAAUUUUGGAAACAUCACUUGGAGCAUUAGGAAAGGUGGCGUGAUCAUUCAAGACUCAACAUUUAGUAAUUUCCAUUUUAAUUAAGUUGUAAUUUCGUUUAUUUUAGAAACCUUAAUUAGAUUAGGUGUUUUUGGGUCCUUUUAGUGGCAAUUUUCUAGAAGCCCAUUUUGUAGGACAUGUGGCUUUAGCUAGGGUUUCAUUUUUAGGAGGUGGACCCCACUUUUAGUGAGGAUGCUCGGCAAUUUUAGUGUGUAGCCGACCACUCCUUUUUCCAAGCACACUUUUCACUUCUUCUUGGUUUUCUAGGGUUUUGUAAUGACACUCUCAUGGAGAACUUGCUAUGUGCUUUGAUUGUGACCAUUUGAAUGANCAAAGUUGCAUAUUUUCUUUGUCUCUUGCUUUCAUCUUGGUUAUCUUGGCUUGGUAGAAGUAGAAAANCGUCCCAUUCCCCAUCUCUUUUCUUGUUCUUUGAAGUUGGAAGCAUGAACUUGNGAGCUUUUCUUUGCAUUUUCAUGGUGGUUCUUGAGUUUGAAUGAAAGUNUAUUUCGUUUUCCUCUUCAUUUGCUGCAAUACUCACGGUUUUCAUUUCACUUAACUUGGUUGGAUAAUGAAAAUGGANUUCUUGUUGAGUUUUNGNUUGAAGGAAGCUUAAGUUGAUGUG